AAACUAAAACUCUCCAAACUCACUCUAAUCUCUUUGACUUGAAAACACCAAACUUUAUAUGAAUUUUUCAAUUUUGUCUCAUGUCUUUCUUACUAAUCUAUUUUUUUUUUUUGCAGGUUUUUAAUUAGAUGGUACUCAUCUUCCACUAAUUUAAAGGUAGAUAUAUUAUUUUUAGAUAUGUAUUUUUGUGUGUUCUGUAAAGGUAGAUUUAUCUAAUCUUCCA
rnacentral:lncRNA from 1 species